rnacentral:rRNA from 1 species
UUGGACAUUGCAGCGAGCAGCAUGCCCGGAGACCUCAGUCAAUGGAUAAUGAAGCACUAUGAUCCGGAGAAGUCACAGAUUGUUAUACUAGAAAGGGGGAAGAUCCCAGUAGAUGCAGCUAGUGUACAUAGGAUAUGGGGGUUGCCUAACAAGGGGAGGAAGGUGUGCUACGAGAUUCGGCUUGAAAUCACAAAGGACUUCUACAAGAUCUUCAAUAUCCAAGGCAAGAAUGCGCCAACUCACUGCAUGGUGUAA